UACGUAGGGUGCGAGCGUUACUCGGAAUUACUGGGCGUAAAGGGCUCGUAGGCGGCCAACUAAGUCACACGUGAAAUCCCCAGGCUUAACCUGGGAACUGCGUGUGAUACUGGAUGGCUUGAAUCCGGGAGAGGGAUGCGGAAUUCCAGGUGUAGCGGUGAAAUGCGUAGAUAUCUGGAGGAACACCGGUGGCGAAGGCGGCAUCCUGGACCGGUAUUGACGCUGAUGAGCGAAAGCCAGGGGAGCAAACGGG
rnacentral:rRNA from 1 species